rnacentral:rRNA from 1 species
AGUGAACGCUGGCGGCGUGCUUAACACAUGCAAGUCGAACGAGAACGGGCUAUAGCUUGCUAUAGUUGUCAGCUAAGUGGCGCACGGGUGAGUAAUGUAUAGGUAAUAUGCCUCUUACUAAGGGAUAACAAAUGGAAACGUUUGCUAAUACCUUAUACUCCUUAUUAACAGAAGUUAAUAAGGGAAAGAUUUAUUGGUAAGAGAUUAGCCUGUAUUGUAUCAGUUAGUUGGUGGGGUAAUGGCUUACCAAGACUAUGACACAUAACUGGUUUGAGAGGAUGAUCAGUCACACUGGAACUGAGACACGGUCCAGACUCCUACGGGAGGCAGCAGUGGGGAAUAUUGCACAAUGGACGAAAGUCUGAUGCAGCAACGCCGCGUGGAGGAUGACACAUUUCGGUGCGUAAACUCCUUUUAUAUGAGAAGAUAAUGACGGUAUUAUAUGAAUAAGCCCCGGCUAACUCCGUGCCAGCCGCCGCGGUAA